GAAAAUGUUCAUAUUUCAUAGCGGGAUUAAGAUAAGCUUAUUAAAUAUUUUUUAAAAUCACUGCUUUGUUAUUAUGAACACUAAUGACAUCUUUUAAAGUUGGUUAGGCUUCUUUACCGAGAGGGAGUCACUUGAACAGACAAUUCAAGCAGCAAAAAUUACACACAUUGUGAAAAAUAAGUCAGCCAGAUUAACAAAUAACUGUUAUUAUGUCUAGCUUAUAUAUAUACCAAGGUAACAAAUGGCAGUGCUCGAGGACUGUUCCUUCCACACUGUUAGGUACAAAUGUGAAUCUGAAUUCAGGAUUAGUGAGGUUGUCACUUGAAACCAUGGAAAAAAGAUAAGGUCUGCCUCCCCUCUGGCACUUUGUGAGAUUAGUACUAUUAUAAUUUACCUUAAGACAAGAAGAAACGUUCUGUUGUGACUCCAAGCUCGGGCUUAACUCCUCUAGCACCUCCACCUUUUAUUCUCACAUGCUCAGGUACUCAGCCCUAAUGGAUAGAACUUUAAGAUGCCUCUCCCUCGUUUUCUGGCAAAAAAAUAAUUGUAAAAAGAGAGAUAGGUAGAACCACCCCUACCUCAAAAAUAUAGCACUCAUUUCGAUUCUAGAUUUUUCAGCUGGUUCGUUGAAAUUCAAGAUAGUUUAUUAAAGAAUAUAGGUAGAAUUUGGUUAACUUGCUCAGGAAAUGUAAAUGAGAAAAUGUGUCAAAUACAAAUAAGACUUAUUUAGCCAUGACUUGAUUCAUGGAAGUUGAAAAGGAAUUAGGAUACUAUUUUAACCUGCUUUUUGUUAUUGAGUGCUUAAAUUAAACACAUCCAUCCUGACAUGAUGGGAGGAUUGAGGCUUUGCCCUCUGACCACCUAUGAAUAGAAAACUCAACUGUAAAAUUAAAGCAGAAAAUAAAAACUACCUGGAAUUUUUCACACAGUACUGUUGCUCCUGCCCUGUUGGCUUUUUCAUCUCCUUUUUUCUCCUGAUAUGUGUCUUCUUAAAAGUGCCAUUAAAUGGUAAGUUCCCCCAUUUGCCCCAUGGAAAAGGUGUGGAGGGAAUGGGGGCAUGUGUCUUAUCUGUAGCUUCUGACAAAACCAGCUGGUUCUGCUCUGUGUUGGCCUGCAUGUUAGCUCUUGUAGAACAUUCCAUGCAUGAAGUGUGGGUCUGCUCUGCAAUAUUUUGUCAAGCUUUCUGAUCCUGGAGUGUGCACAGUGACUCAUCAGUCUAAAGUUCUGUUUUCUUUUUCCGCUUUGCUUCCAUUUCAUGUAUCAAGUCCACAUUUUCAUUGCUAGCUUUAUAAGCCAAGCCAUUUUGACCAUUUUACUUUUGCUCACAGAACAUUUGUACAGAGUUCAUUUACUUCAUCAUGCAAACUAGUUAGCUUAUCUUUGGAAGAAUACGUGACUGGUUUUAUCAGGUCUUGAUGAAGUUUCAGAUUGAAACUUCUAUAAACGUUAGCACCCAAAAGCUAGAGGGUUCUUACCGCAUAGUUUUGUGAAAGCAAUAUAUCAUUUAGACUGCUUUGUAAAAACAAAACUUUUUGCCUCAUUCCUAUCAGUAUUGCCAGUUUCAUUUAGAUUUGUAAACAUUGAACUUUUCCUCUUUGCUGAGCCAUCGUAAGGAUUAGUGCAGCCAUAGGUUGAGGGGAUGUCAGCAGCAGCUUCUUAGCGUUCUCAGUGACCCUGAUGUAUCCCGUUAGUUCUCCCUCACUUUCUCUCUACCUUCUUUUCCUAAAUGACCACACGAUGGCCACUGAGAUGAGCACUUUGGUGCAUUCCCACACUUAGAAGAAUCACGAGCCGGCUGACGUGCGCUGACAGACUGGGAAGCUUCACCCCGCUAUCCAGGUGGCAGACCGGCGUCAACAUCACACAGAUGAAGUGUUUAGAGGGCUGCGGCUUAAAGGAGGGAUAUGAAGUGACCAUGAGCUUCGGGCCAGGGCUCCUUCUCAGCCCUCCGGGGCCUGAUGCCAGGGACUGUGCUCCCAGCUUAUUCAGCCAGCAGUGGGACCGCAUGAAGGCUGGCAGGAAAGGACCAGACAUUUCAUCCAUGGAUCCAUUUCCUUCCGGCUGUAAGACUUAUUACCUGGAAGCUAAGUAGCAGCAUCUUCCUGCCAGCUUCCCUGGUCCUGGCAGAGGUCCUGACAGCCACAGGAAGACGAGGACUCGGGGAACAUCCACAGGAAACUUGGGGCUAGACACCUGAUGUGCAACUGGACAAUCAAGUGACAUUGCUUUUGGUCCAUAUCAUCUGAGAAUGACAUAUAGCAGCCAUCUGUUAUAGGCAUGAGGGUGUGAGAGAUAUCAAGAAGAGGCAAUAAUCAGGGGUUUUUUUGUGUGUGGUGGCCAGUUUUUUUUCUCAUUGAGAUUUUAAAAUAGCUCAAGAGAAGUGCUUGUUUCAAAUAGAAGAUAACUUAAAAAGGAUUGGAAGCCAAGAUGCUGAUGUGGAGGAACAGACUGUCCCAGUGGAAUAGAAUGCAAACUACACCCUUGUUCUGGCUAAUAAGAAAGGAAAGUGCCUUCCACCUAUAUAAAAGAGAUUAUCCUGGAAAUAGAUACUGCAAAUAUUGAGAAUUUUGAGAGUAUUAGGGAUGAAUUAUGUUUUAAAACAAAAAAAAUUAUGGAAAGGAAAGGAACUAUAAAUUAUUAGUUAUCCAGACUUUAAACUUUCCUAGGAAAUAAUUUU
rnacentral:lncRNA from 1 species